rnacentral:rRNA from 1 species
AUUGAACGCUGGCGGCAGGCCUAACACAUGCAAGUCGAACGGUAAGAGGAAAAGGUUUGUUGUCUCGCUGACGCGUGGGGGAGGGGUGAGUAAUGUCUGGGAAACUGCUUGAUGGAGGGGGAUAAUUACUGGAACCGGUAGUUAAUACCGCAUAACGUCGCAAGACCAAAGAGGGGGACCUAAGGGCGUCCUGCCAUUCGCUGUGACCAGGAGGGAUUAGCUAGUAGGUGGGGUAACGGCUAACCUAGGCGACGAUCCCUAGCUGGUCUGAGAGGAUGACCGGCCACACUGGAACUGAGACACGGUCCAGACUCCUACGGGAGGCAGCAGUAGGGAAUAUUGCACAAUGGGCGCAAGCCUGAUGCAGCCAUGCCGCGUGUAUGAAGAAGGCCUUCGGGUUGUAAAGUACUUUCAGCGGGGAUGAAGAGAUUAAAGUUAAUACCUUUACUCAUUGACGUUACCCGCAGAGAAAGCACCGGCUAACUCCGUG